UCUCGUCUCCUGCACCUGACCCUUCCCAGGACCCGUGAUGCCGAGGCAGCUGCAAGGAGCGACAAACGGUCGGGGUUGAGCCCCAGGUAAGCUGAGGGCUUGCGCUCUUCUGGCCCUAUCCCCCGGGCCCGCCCCACUUGAAGAAAUGAGUGGUGGAUUGGCCCCAAGUAAAAGCACAGUGUAUGUAUCCAAUCUGCCCUUUUCCCUGACCAACAAUGACUUAUAUCGGAUCUUUUCCAAGUAUGGCAAAGUUGUAAAGGUUACUAUAAUGAAAGAUAAAGAUACCAGGAGGAGUAAAGGGGUUGCAUUUAUUUUAUUUUUGGAUAAAGACUCUGCACAAAACUGUACCAGGGCAAUAAACAACAAACAGUUAUUUGGUAGAGUGAUAAAAGCAAGCAUUGCUAUUGACAAUGGAAGAGCAGCUGAGUUCAUCCGAAGACGAAACUGCUUUGAUAAAUCUAAGUGUUAUGAAUGUGGGGAAAGCGGACACUUAAGUUAUGCCUGUCCUAAAAAUAUGCUUGGAGAACGUGAACCUCCAAAGAAGAAAGAGAAAAAGAAAAAAAAAGAAAACUCCUGAGCCAGAAGAAGAAAUUGAAGAAGUAGAAGAAAGUGAAGAUGAAAGGGAAGAUCCUGCUCUUGACAGCCUCAGUCAGGCUAUAGCUUUCCAGCAAGCCAAAACUGAAGAACAAAAAAAAUGGAAACCCAGUUCAGGAGGUCCUUCAACAUCAGAUGAUUCAAAACGCCCAAGGAUAAGGAAAAGCACAUACUUCAGUGAUGAGGAGGAACUUAGUGAUUUAAAAUAUAUAUAUUAUGUAAAUAUCAUUAAAAAAAUUUUUUCAAGUCUUGGAGUACCAAGUUCCCUUGGGAUUAAAAAUUACUUUUAGAGUUUGAACAUAAGAACACUUAGUACCAAAUACUUUUUUACUUUAGAUAGUUGAUAGGAAAUGGUAAUUUUAUAGUAUCAUGUUUAUCUUGCAUCAAGAUUUGCUAAUAAUCAUUAAUCUUUAAAAUAGUUCAUUUGAAUAAAAAAGAAAAUGUAAUACUAUCAUACCAAUGCUAUCCCAAGAAGAAAGUGAAAGUCGCUCGGUCGUGUCCGACUCUUUGUGACCCCGUGGACU